AUGCAGGCCAAUUCACCUAGAAAGGCCUAUUUUCAAAAGCUCAUGUCCUCUGAAUUGAGGAACCACAGAUCAGAUCAGCCUCUUCAACCCCCCGCGAGGCUCCCAUUCAUGUAAGACACCCAUGGCUUUGUAAUGGCACCCAACGCUCUGGGCUGGCAUGAAAAUUGUGUGACUCACAUCAUGUGCCUCCCCAAGAAGGUGAGGCUGUUGCUGCAAAGCUGACUAGUUUGUGGAAUAGUUUCUUAGCAGGCAUUUUGGAGGAAAAGAUUUGGAUCAGAAAUUCAGAAAUUACCUGGGCUCACAAAUAUAUGCCCCUCCAGCACCAUCCUGCAUUCUGCUUCCAAGAUACAUGAGCUUUCUGAAGAGCUGGUGAGAAUGCUGAAACUUCCUGGCCUUGGUUUCCCAUCUGGUAAAAUGAGGAAGACCAAAGCUUAACUCUCACAAGGAAUAUGCAGCAGGGAGAAGUCUAAGAGACAAAAUCAAUAAGGCUAGAGAAGAUUGGCUUUCUCUGGAUACUGUACCUUAUCCAUGUGAACAGGAGAUUUUAUAGUGACUUGUUUCAGUAUAAACAAAGAGGACUGGAAUAACUGAUUGCUGAGGACUCCAAUCAUGGCAGCACUGUAUGAUAUGAAUGUAAAAUAAGCAUGACUGACUGCAACAAGAAGGCAGCCUGAAUCUACCUGAAGAAUCCUCAGGCCAUCCGAUUUGAUGAUAUAGUCAGUAGGAUUGUUUGGUUUGCUAGUAACAUAAAUUCAAAGCUUCAGGAAGGAGACUGGGCACAGCGGCUCAUGCCUGUAAUCCCAGCACUUUGGGAGGCCAAGGCGAGUGGAUCAUUUGAGGCCAGCAGUUCUAGACCAGCCUGGCCAAUAUGGUGAAACGCCGUCUCUACUAAAAAUACAAAAAUCAGCUGGGCAUGGUGGCACAUGCUUAUAAUCCCAUCUACUCAGGAGGCUGAGGCAUAAGAAUCGCUUGAACCCAAGAGGUGGAGGUUGCAGUGAGCCAAGAUUGUGCCACUAUACUCCAGCCUGGGUGACAGAGCAAGACUCUGUCUCAAACAAAACAAAACAAAACAAAACAAAACAAAACAAAAACAACAAAACACACACACACAAACACCAAAGCUUCAGGAAAAAAAAGGCAGACUAAAUUAUAUGGUAAGUAGGCUGUUUCAUUGAACUGAAAUGCAAAAGUAAACCGGAGAUGUAAGUUGUCACAAGAUCUCUCUUCUUGGUUCUCUUUCCACUGCUCAAUCCAUACAGUGAGUAAAAUUUUACGUCUUAA
rnacentral:lncRNA from 1 species